AAAGCCCCUUCGGGGGUAAGUAGAGUGGCGUCCGGGUGAGUAACACGUGGGUAAUCUGCCUUCGGGUGGGGAAUAACCCAGGGAAACUUGGGCUAAUACCGCAUAAUGCAGCGGCACCUAAUGGUGAUUAGUUGUUAAAGCGGGGGAUCGCAAGACCUCGCGCCUGAAGAGGAGCCUGCGGCAGAUUAGCUAGUUGGUGAGGUAAUGGCUCACCAAGGCUUCGAUCUGUAGCUGGUCUGAGAGGACGGCCAGCCACACUGGCACUGACACACGGGCCAGACUCCUACGGGAGGCAGCAGUGGGGAAUUUUGGGCAAUGGGCGAAAGCCUGACCCAGCAACGCCGCGUGAGGGAGGAAAUCCUUCGGGAUGUAAACCUCACAAGCAAGGGAAGAGAGCUACGGGCUGAAUAAUCCCGUAGUGCGACGGUACCUUGCGUAAGCCACGGCUAACUACGUGCCAGCAGCCGCGGUAAUACGUAGGUGGCAAGCGUUGUUCGGAAUUAUUGGGCGUAAAGGGCGCGUAGGCGGUUUGUUAAGUCGGCUGUGAAAGCCCGGGGCUCAACCCCGGAGGGUCAGCCGAUACUGGCAGACUAGAGUACGGAAGAGGUAGCUGGAAUUCCCGGUGUAGCGGUGAAAUGCGUAGAUAUCGGGAGGAACACCUGAGGCGAAGGCGGGCUACUGGGCCGAUACUGACGCUGAUGCGCGAAAGCCAGGGGAGCGAACGGGAUUAGAUACCCCGGUAGUCCUGGCCCUAAACGAUGGACACUUGGUGUGUCGGGUAUUCCAGUCCCGAUGUGCCGGAGCUAACGCGUUAAGUGUCCCGCCUGGGGAGUACGGUCGCAAGGCUG
rnacentral:rRNA from 1 species